GGGCGAUUAGCUCAGUGGGAGAGCGCUUCCUUGACACGGAAGAGGUCACUGGUUCAAUCCCAGUAUCGCCCA
rfam:Pseudonocardia dioxanivorans CB1190, complete genome.